rnacentral:rRNA from 1 species
UUUUCAGAUCACUCGGUUUCAGUAGUCAGCGACGCUCCAUUAUCAGAAAUUCUGAACAAUAGAGAUGCAACUGGUCGAGUGGCAAAAUGGGCGAUUGAAGUCCUUCCGUUGGAUAUCAAGUUUGAGGCAAAGAAAGAAAUCAAGUCCCAAGCAAUAGCAGAUUUCCUCGCCGAGUGGAUUGAACAGCAACAACCGACUCAGAUUCACUCGGGGCAUUGGACUAUGUUCUUUGAUGGGUCCAAGAUGUUGAAUGGCUCUGGCGCUGGUGUAGUUCUGGUAUCUCCCAGAGGUGACAAGCUCAGCUAUGUCCUCCAGAUUCACUUUGAUUCCUCAAACAACGAGGCUGAAUACGAGGCACUUCUAUAUGGGUUACAUAUGGCCAUCUCACUUGGCGUCCGUCGCCUGAUGGUCUACGGCGACUCAGACUUAGUGGUCAAUCAGGUGGUUAAGGAAUGGGAUAUCAGGAGCCCAACUAUGACUGGUUAUUGCAAUGUAGUAAGAAAGCUAGAGAAGAAGUUUGAAGGGUUAGAGCUCCACCACAUACCCCGAAUCAAGAAUCAAGUUGCUGAUGAUCCGGCGAAGAUAGGUUCCACUCGGAAGCCUAUCCCCAGUAAUGUGUUCUUGGAGCAUCUCCAUACCCCGUCAGUUCAAGAAGAUCCCUUCACAGAA